AGGAAGGUUGCCGUCAAUCACUUCCAGGGGCCCUUCACUUAGAAAGCAGGAGAGUCAAGGCGCUGACUCUCCCCUUAACGAGCCAGUGUCUGGUGACGCAUGCACAGAAGCAGCUGGAGGUGAGGCCAACCCCCCAGAGCUGAUGUCUCCGGCUGGCGUUUGCACCUGAGCGCACCCAGAGCCUUCCCCAGGGUUUGCACGUGGUUUGGGCUGAGCUGACAUCCUUGCAGUGUUAAGCUGUGCCGUCCACAGACAGCUGUCCUCGGACUGUCUCUCCCUCUACUCUCUGCGGUAUGACCUGUCUAGACUUUUGCAAUCACCUCCAUAAAUACCACGUGCUUUCUCAGGUGCUGAGUGGCCGGCUGUGGCACCACGGACGGCCUCCUGUGACCUUUCUGCCAUGACCUUGGCUGAUCUCCCUUCACUCCCGGCUCCUCGCAGAGCCUCCUUUCUUGGUCUUCCCAUUGACUUUGCUUCCUCACCGGUGUCCUUCCGAUACAUUUCUUUAAGAUGGCCAGGGCCAUUUUCUCUUACUUGUCCCCAAAACUUGACUAAUACAGGGAACAAGUUGCAGGAAACAAACUAUUAAAGAAAUAUGGAGAGCUGGAUUAGCUAUCUGACUUAGUAGUCACAAAAGGGAACAAAGACUCGCUUAGCAUUUAGGGAGACAACAUCGAUAAGGUGCUGAACAGCUUAAAGAAUGAGAACGAGAAUCUGACAUGACUUAAAUUCUAAGAUUAAGGCGUAGAGGGUACCCCAGGGUCCUUCUUAGGCCAUAUUGAAGGUGGAUCCUGCAGGUGGCCGAGCUGCAGGGUCAGCCGAACUCACAGCGUCAUCCUCCCUCUCUGAGGACACGAUUCUGAGUCACUGCACUGAGGACAUCAUGCUGACAGAACACGGAGAGUAGACGUGGAGAGUGGAAGAUACCCUGUAUGUUUUGAUGGGACACAUGGAUGUGACAGGAUGGAAGAUGAAUACAUUUCAGACAAAAAUGCCAACGUCUGUCUCCUUGGUGGAGAUCCUGGGGUCCAGUGAGCUGGGGCAUUUGGGGCCGUCAUUUCCUAUUUGGAGGAAAGCUGCUGUGCAUUGCAUUCUCUACGGUCCAGAAAGACGCGUAGUACUAGGCGACUCUGGAUUUUGGAGGUAACCUUCAGCAGAUCUGAGUGUGCUGCUCUGAGGGAGGGACCUGAAAGGCCUCCAGGUUUGCACAGGGCAUGAUGCACGAGGAGGCAGCGGAGCUCCUGGUCCACACUGCCUGGAAGGAGCGAGGGCCUGAGGGAAAGUCAACACUGAUGUAUGGACAGCGCCUAAAUGUCCUGACUGGGAAGGAUGGGUGAGAAGGAAUUGUCAGCAUGCCAAGAGAUGGGCAGACAGAAUGCCCCAGGAGAGAGGAGUAUUUUUCUCACUGACAUUGUUCAGAAAAUCUAGAACAUGGUGAUAACAAAAAGCAG
rnacentral:lncRNA from 1 species